rnacentral:lncRNA from 10 species
AUCAUGUGGUUGAGUUCAAUGAUGUACUUCCCCUCUUUGUACUUCUGGCUGCUCUCAAAGGCCUGUUCCUGAAAGGAGGGGCGGGACCGUCAUCCCCGGAGCAACAGUCUCACCACAAGGCACUGGGGUUGGGAAGUGGACAUGAGUGGCCCCAUUUUACAUAUGAGGAAACUGUGGCCCAGAGGGGCAGGGCCGUAUUUCUCACAAACACAGAGUAGAAUAGAACUCCCUGACUCAAAGGUACUUUUUUAAGUACUAAUGAUGGCUCCAACAGAGAAGAUAGGGAAGUGGCUAAAAGAUUUCACAGUUCAGGGUUUGCAAACUGGUAGCUUCAUGGCCAUUUUGGCCUACAACAUGUAUUAUGUUUG